rnacentral:misc_RNA from 1 species
AACGCACAUUGCGCCUUCGGGUAUUCCUGGAGGCAUGCCUGUUCGAGCGUCGUUAAAGACCAUAAGGCUUUGCCUUGCGAUGAGCUUCUGGCAGUCUUUUCUUCUCUCUGAGAAAAAAGAAGCCAGUUGCUUUAAACUGAUUGGCGUCUGAAGUUAAGCCCAAGCACAGCAAAAUGUGUUUUUGAGCCCAUACGAUAAAGGAUUGCCCGUACACAAAAAUCAUUAUUGGUCGACCUCGGAUCAGGCAAGAUUACCCGCUGAACUUAA